rnacentral:misc_RNA from 1 species
AAUGGAGUCUGCCUACGUUUGAAGAAGGAUCAAAAGAAUUCAAUAAGUCUUCUGUGGAAUUCUCAACUGCUAAAAUGACUUCUGGAGAUGCUCAUAGCUAUUAUUAUUCAGAAGAUGAAGAUGUCUGCCCAACAUGUCUUGAAGAAUAUACGGAGGAAAACCCAAAAAUAAUAACAAAAUGCUCUCACCAUUUCCACCUGAGUUGUAUAUAUGAGUGGAUGGAAAGAAGUGACAGCUGUCCAGUUUGUGGCAAGGUGAUGGCAUUUGACGAAACAACCUAAUCUCUGCUUCAAGAAGUUGCAGUCGCGGAGGGGUGAAACCAGCAGUAGUAAGGGAUUAUAAAACCAGAACAGAUAAAUUUAAAGUCUGUGUGAAUACCAUUUUGCCAAAUUCAUAUAUGUU